AGGACGAACGCUGGCGGCGUGCUUAACACAUGCAAGUCGAGCGGAAAGGCCCUUCGGGGUACUCGAGCGGCGAACGGGUGAGUAACACGUGAGCAACCUGCCCUUAGCUCUGGGAUAGCUCCGGGAAACCGGGAUUAAUACCAGAUACGACCACUUUAGACAUCUGUCGUGGUGGAAAGGAUUCCGGCUAGGGAUGGGCUCGCGGCCUAUCAGCUUGUUGGUGGGGUAACGGCCUACCAAGGCGACGACGGGUAGCCGGCCUGAGAGGGCGACCGGCCACACUGGGACUGAGACACGGCCCAGGACUCCUACGGGAGGCAGCAGUGGGGAAUAUUGCGCAAUGGGCGAAAGCCUGACGCAGCGACGCCGCGUGGGGGAUGAAGGCCUUCGGGUUGUAAACCCUUCAGCAGGGACGAAGCGAAAGUGACGGUACCUGCAGAAGAGCGCCGGCUAACUACGUGCCAGCAGCCGC
rnacentral:rRNA from 1 species